UGGGGAAUAUUGGACAAUGGGCGAAAGCCUGAUCCAGCCAUGCCGCGUGUGUGAAGAAGGUCUUCGGAUUGUAAAGCACUUUAAGUUGGGAGGAAGGGCAUUAACCUAAUACGUUAGUGUUUUGACGUUACCGACAGAAUAAGCACCGGCUAACUCUGUGCCAGCAGCCGCGGUAAUACAGAGGGUGCAAGCGUUAAUCGGAAUUACUGGGCGUAAAGCGCGCGUAGGUGGUUUGUUAAGUUGGAUGUGAAAUCCCCGGGUUCAACCUGGGAACUGCAUUCAAAACUGACUGACUAGAGUAUGGUAGAGGGUGGUGGAAUUUCCUGUGUAGCGGUGAAAUGCGUAGAUAUAGGAAGGAACACCAGUGGCGAAGGCGACCACCUGGACUAAUACUGACACUGAGGUGCGAAAGCGUGGGGAGCAAACA
rnacentral:rRNA from 1 species